GGAAGUAGUAUGUCGACCUCGGCGAUUUUCAACACGGACAGCAGCAUGUUUGUUUUCACUUGCAUGGCCUGAGUGGUGACCAUAUACGAGAAGUUCUUCAAGAUCUCGAAACACGCCAUCUGCGAAAACGACACUAUACGGAGUGAUCGUUUUGUCGUGGACCCGACGAGACGUCUCUGCAGAGAAUACGAGCAGUUUUCGAAUAAUAAUUAUAAUUAUUAUACUCUUUUCGAGGACGUCAUAUCGAUAAUAAUUAUCAAGUCAAAAUGUAAAACGAUAAGAACCGCAACUGUGUUGUGCACAACGUGAUAGGUACUGAAUAACGGCGAUGAAGCUCGCUUACAGUAAAUUGUUACACUAAAUCGUUCAACAAACUACAUGUUUUUUUUGCCCGAAGAAAAUGACAAAAAUAAAAAUAACAUUUUUUACUGAAGCAUCUAAAAGCUUUGUAAAAAUAAAAAUAACAGACAAUGCACAGUGCUGUGUACUGAAUACUGAUCCGUUGCACUACCCUAACCACCGAUCUUAAGUAAGUACCAGCUACUUAUCUAGUUAAGGUGUCUGUCAUCAGUCUUCGGUUAAAGUAAAGUGAUAAAAGAAGUUUUUUUUGUACGUUUUAAUUAAUUGUUUACAGUUUUAUCAGUGCAACUUAAUAAAAAUGAUUGUACUUUUUAUUUUUAUUCUAUAUGUAUUUUGUAAUAAAUAUAAUAUUCAAUACGAAUUGAAUAUUAUAUUCAUAACUACUAAAAUUAUUUUAUAAUUGUGAUUUUUUUUUUUUUUUUUUUUGUUAUUUUGUUUUAUAAAUUAUAAUCAUCGCUGACAUUUUGAAAAUUACAAAUAAUAUAAAUUUUACUCACGCAAACAUUUGC